rnacentral:tRNA from 1 species
GCCUCGUUAUAUCAGUCGGUAGAUUAAAUGACUCUUAAUGCGGACUCUUUCAGUUCCGGUUGAUCAUUCGGUCGUGGGUUCGAGCCCCACACGAGGCU